UUCCCCGACACUAUAAUCUACAGUCUGUCUUCCAAUUCCAAAUCCCUAACCCUAUCGUGCCUUGACUUCCUUGACUGCCGAUCCACCUCCACCGUCAAGACCUCCACCGAUCCACCUCCGGUCCUCCACCCACUUCUAGAAUCAAUCGUUUAAGGGUUUGUUUCUUCCCGAAUCGCCAAGUAGAAGCAAGCAUACAAGAACGAGGAGUUUGGUACAGGCAUUAGGUACCAGAUUCACUCAAUUUGUACAGCCUGUAUUUCAGAGGUGCAUGAAUAUCAUCCAGACUCAACAAUUGGGUAAGAAACAAUCGACAUUGAAAUCGAUUUGGCAUACCUUAGCUUCCUUUCCUGACUUCAAUUUUUAUGACUAUGGCUAGUUCGAACACUCCUAUACCUGUGGACGAUGGGUUUAAUGAGUACGAAAGUGCUGUCAAACAUCAAAAGUCCACCACUUCAAAGGUGUGGGAUGAAAUGACAAAGCUUGAAUGCGAGAACAAAAAUGAAUUGAAGGUACAAUGUAAUCACUGUAAGACUAUCUUCUCUGCUAAGUCUUCUAGUGGAACCUCUCAUUUAAGACGUCAUCUAAAUAGCUGUUUGAAAAAAGUUAAUAAGGACAUCACUCAAUACACCAUAGCCACUCAACCAUCGCCAGAAGGUGUUCCAUUUAUAAAAAAAACUACAAGUUUGAUGCUGAUGAGUGUCGUCAAGCUAUUUCUACUUUUCUUGUGUGUGGCAAGCAUUCAUUUAGGACAGUUGAAGAACCGGGAUUUAGAUACAUGAUGAGAAUUGCUAGUCCUAAUUUUAAGAGUAUAAGUAGACAAACAGCUACUAGGGAUGUCCUAAAGUAUUAUGCAAAAGAGAGAGAUCAUGUUAAAGAAGAGUUGGCUAGAGCACCUGGUUUAAUUUGUCUAACUUCUGAUAAUUGGAAUUCGGAGCAUACUAAUGAUGAAUAUAUUUGCAUUACUGCUCAUUGGGUUGACAAAGAUUGGAAGCUACAAAAGAGAAUCAUAAGGUUUAGAGCUUUAUUUCCUCCGUAUGAUGGUUUGAACAUAGCGGAUGAACUUGUUUUAUGUUUAUCUCAAUGGGGUAUAGAUAAGAAAAAUUUUAGCAUCACUUUGGACAAUGCUUCUUAUAAUGAUGUUAUGGUUUCUUGUCUUAAAAAUUGUUUUCGUGCAAACCGAGCUAUUUUGUGUGAUGGUGCUUUUUUUCAAGUUAGAUGUUGUGCACAUAUAUUGAAUCUUAUAGUUAAAGCUGG